rnacentral:rRNA from 1 species
GAUGAACGCUGGCGGCGUGCUUAACACAUGCAAGUCGAACGGGAAUUAUUUUAUUGCAACUUCGGUCGAUUUAAUUUAAUUCUAGUGGCGGACGGGUGAGUAACGCGUGGGUAACCUGCCUUAUACAGGGGGAUAACAGUCAGAAAUGGCUGCUAAUACCGCAUAAGCGCACAGAGCUGCAUGGCUCAGUGUGAAAAACUCCGGUGGUAUAAGAUGGACCCGCGUUGGAUUAGCUUGUUGGCAGGGUAACGGCCUACCAAGGCGACGAUCCAUAGCCGGCCUGGAGGGGGGAACGGCAAAAUUGGGACUGGAACACGUCCCGAACCCCUACGGAGGGCAGCAGGGGGGAUAAUGGCACAAUGGGGAAACCCUGAUGCAGCGACGCCGCGUGAAGGAAGAAGUAUCUCGGUAUGUAAACUUCUAUCAGCAGGGAAGAUAGUGACGGUACCUGACUAAGAAGCCCCGGCUAACUACGUG